rnacentral:misc_RNA from 1 species
AGCAUAAACUUGAAGAACGAGUAGGCAGACAGACAGACAGAGACCUUCCGCUCUCAAAAGGCCAAAUCAAAUCAAAUCGCUCUCCACUCCACAGCAAAUAAAAUAACCUAAUUUCCUCUUCUUCCCAAUACACAACAUUAUAACUGAAAAAACAAGAAUUGGGAAAUUUUGAAUUCUGAAUUCACCCCAUAUGUAAUGCAUCAGAAGAAAUCAGAAGUCCAAAUCGGAAAAGAAAGCACCGGCGUCUCUUCCG